rnacentral:tRNA from 2 species
AGUACAGUAGCUCACUAGGAAGAGCAUCGGAUUGAAACUCUGAGUGAAUGGGUUCGAGUCCCAUCGAAAAUA